GAACGUCGCUGGUGUCACGACAACCACCAGGCCGCCGGAGGCGGUACCACAUCAUUCACCCGGGGAGAAACAGGACCGGGGAACACAGCCCGACCCUGACCAUCACACACGACAACUUACAGACAGCAGCACACUCCAGACGUCGGUUAUCCGCAUUUUGCUGAACUCAUCGAUCGGCACCGCCGACGCUGCCUCCCCGCUUCCCAUCGCCGCCAUGGUUCCGGAAACCCCGCCGCGUACGUCGCGAGAAUCGUCACCGGCGUUGGCGUUUCCCUUGUCAAUCAACUGCAGUACUGUAUACUAGUCAGUAAGUGUCGCCACUGCACUUUGCAAUAACUUGAAUAACAGUUCAGCACAAGAUUUUGGAAAAAGGAAGAUAUGACCAACAUUUCUCCAAGGCUAAUCAAACCAGCAAUAAGAGAACCAUAACUGAAAUUGCUGGAAAAGAUUUGCAGGUCUGGCAGCAUCUGUGGAGAGAAAUCAGAGUUAAUGUUUUGGGUCUAUGAUUCUUCCUCAGAACUGAUAGAAUUCUAGAACAAUGUUGUUUGAGCAAUGCCAACUUAACUCUAAGUGGAUCAAGUUCCCUCCAGAAGUAAGGUAUGAGCUGAUAUUAAAUUGUCAAUUUCAUAGCACGAGCACAAAACUAGCCAUGUGAGAAAUAAAAUUGAUGAACUGGUGUAA